UACGUAGGGGGCGAGCGUUGUCCGGAUUUAUUGGGCGUAAAGAGCGUGUAGGCGGUUCGGUAAGGCUGUCGUGAAAUCCUGAGGCUCAACCUCGGGCGUGCGAUGGAUACUGCCGGGCUAGAGGGUGGUAGAGGCGAGUGGAAUUCCCGGUGUAGCGGUGAAAUGCGCAGAUAUCGGGAGGAACACCAGUAGCGAAGGCGGCUCGCUGGGCCACACCUGACGCUGAGACGCGAAAGCUAGGGGAGCGAACAGG
rnacentral:rRNA from 1 species